rnacentral:SRP_RNA from 1 species
GCUGGGUGUGGUGGCGCAUGCCUAUAGUCCCAGCUACUUGGGAGGCUGAGGUGGGAGGAUCACUUGAGCCAGGGAGUCCUAGGCUAUAAUGUGCUAUGCCAGUGAGGUGCUUACAUCAAAGUUCAGCAUCCAAAUGGUGACCUCCUGGGAGUAGGGGACCACAUGGUUGCCUAAGGAGGGAAUAAACUGGCCCAGGUUAGAAAUAGAACAGGUCAAAAUUCCUGUGUUGAUCAGCAGUGGGAACAGACCUGUUAANNNNNNNNNNNNN